rnacentral:lncRNA from 1 species
UGCACUAGUCUUGCCUGUCCUGAUCUUCCUGGGGUGCGCGCACUCCUUCAGCGUGUCCUGGUUUUAAAAGACUAACCCAUCCGGAUGGGCCUGAACUCAAGAAGCAACUAUUCUAAGCUAGACUGAGCCUUGGCGUCUCCGCAGCCUGGGAAGCUCGGAUAGAGCUCUUUGAAGAAGGCGGCUGCAAGCCAGUCUCCGAACCCCAGGGGACUUUUGGGCAAGGGAGCCGGUGGAAGCAGAAGGAAGAAGAUGCGCUGAGAGUCCUCACAACUGCGUCUCCGGAGGCAGAACGAAGUGGGGACUUCAGACAAUCAAGCGUCAUCCUUGCUCCCCCCUCCCCACACGGAACCCUGCGAUUAUGGCAAGAGAAAACUGGUUUGAGCUUGAGAAAAUUUC